rnacentral:rRNA from 1 species
CAGUCGCCACGGUAAUACGGAGGGUGCGAGCGUUAAUCGGAAUUACUGGGCGUAAAGCGCGCGUAGACGGUUUUGUAAGUCAGAUGUGAAAUCCCUGGGCUCAACCUGGGAACUGCAUUUGAUACUGCAUGGCUAGAGUAUCGAAGAGGGAAGUGGAAUUUCCGGUGUAGCGGUGAAAUGCGUAGAUAUCGGAAGGAACACCAGUGGCGAAAGCGACUUCCUGGUCGAAUACUGACGUUCAUGUGCGAAAGCGUGGGGAGCAAACAGGAUUAGAUACCCCAGUAGUCCCUGUCUCUUAUCC